GAUGAACGCUGGCGGCGUGCCUAAUACAUGCCAGUCGAGCGAACAGACGAGGAGCUUGCUCCUUUGACGUUAGCGGCGGACGGGUGAGUAACACGUGGGUAACCUACCUAUAAGACUGGGAUAACUUCGGGAAACCGGAGCUAAUACCGGAUAAUAUUUCGAACCGCAUGGUUCGAUAGUGAAAGAUGGCUCUGCUAUCACUUAUAGAUGGACCUGCGCCGUAUUAGCUAGUUGGUAAGGUAACGGCUUACCAAGGCAACGAUACGUAGCCGACCUGAGAGGGUGAUCGGCCACACUGGAACUGAGACACGGUCCAGACUCCUACGGGAGGCAGCAGUAGGGAAUCUUCCGCAAUGGGCGAAAGCCUGACGGAGCAACGCCGCGUGAGUGAUGAAGGUCUUCGGAUCGUAAAACUCUGUUAUUAGGGAAGAACAAACGUGUAAGUAACUGUGCACGUCUUGACGGUACCUAAUCAGAAAGCCACGGCUAACUACGUG
rnacentral:rRNA from 1 species